UGCAGUCGAACGGAAAGGUCUCUUCGGAGAUACUCGAGUGGCGAACGGGUGAGUAACACGUGGGUGAUCUGCCCUGCACUUCGGGAUAAGCCUGGGAAACUGGGUCUAAUACCGGAUAGGACCACGGGAUGCAUGUCUUGUGGUGGAAAGCGCUUUAGCGGUGUGGGAUGAGCCCGCGGCCUAUCAGCUUGUUGGUGGGGUGACGGCCUACCAAGGCGACGACGGGUAGCCGGCCUGAGAGGGUGUCCGGCCACACUGGGACUGAGAUACGGCCCAGACUCCUACGGGAGGCAGCAGUGGGGAAUAUUGCACAAUGGGCGCAAGCCUGAUGCAGCGACGCCGCGUGGGGGAUGACGGCCUUCGGGUUGUAAACCUCUUUCACCAUCGACGAAGGUCCGGGUUCUCUCGGAUUGACGGUAGGUGGAGAAGAAGCACCGGCCAACUACGUGCCAGCAGCCGCGGUAAUACGUAGGGUGCGAGCGUUGUCCGGAAUUACUGGGCGUAAAGAGCUCGUAGGUGGUUUGUCGCGUUGUUCGUGAAAUCUCACGGCUUAACUGUGAGCGUGCGGGCGAUACGGGCAGACUAGAAUACUGCGGGGGAGACUGGAAUUCCUGGUGUAGCGAUGAAAUGCGCACAUAUCAGGAGGAACUCAGGUGGCGAAUGCGGGUCUCUGGACAGUAGCUGACGCUGAGGAGCUAAACUGUGCAGAGCGAAUUAGAGUACAUACACCGGUAUUCCACACCGUUGAUGGUGGGGAUAGGUGUGAGUUUCCUUCUACGGGAUCAAUGCCGUCCUCCUGCAGUACUCCCCCCUGCUCGUA
rnacentral:rRNA from 1 species